GCGUUUCUCGCCGUACACCGACUCGCCCGGCACCAGGUUCCGCGUCACCAGCGCGUCCUCGCGGCCCCGGCAGAUGAACACACCUGGCACAGGUGGGACAGGUGGGACAGGUGAGACACGCCUGGCACAGGUGGGACAGGUGAGACAGGUGAGACACACCUGGCACAGGUGGGACAGGUGGGACAGGUGAGACACACCUGGCACAGGUGGGACAGGUGAGACACACCUGGCACAGGUGAGAUACACCCGGGAUAGACCCGGG